rnacentral:pre_miRNA from 1 species
GGUACCUGGAGGGAGGUUGUCCAUGGUAAGUUCACAUUANUUAAUGAUGCCCAAAGCACGGUCAGCCUCUUUCCAGUAUC